AUGCGCUUCCUACCGCUUCGCAUAGCCAAAUCCCACCGACCUCGAAAAAAUGAAACCCUCCUUUUCCCCAGGCCCCCUCCUCUGCUUCCCACCCGCCGGCCCCUCUGUAACUGCUGGGGAGGGGACGUCAAGCCGCGGCCCCACACAGUGGGACUCGAUGCCGGACCGUGGGGACCACGGACAUCCACUGGCACACCCGUUCCACUCGGGUCCGUGCAGACUCGCCCCGGGCACGGGGCCCGCGUUUCCAUGUGGAUUCUUCGCGAGCAAAACUCCCGUGUGCUGCUCGAUAAAGAAACUGAGUCCCGACUAGUGAGCGAUUCGGUCCGCCCUGCGGCAGGGACUGAGGUGGGAUUCCCGCCGUCGGGCGGAGCCCCCUCCCCUACGGUCCGGCCCCGGGGCGGCGCCUCGACUUUAUCUCCGGAUGCCCAGCCGGUGCUGACCGCAAAAGGAAAUGGGCGGCGGAGGGCUGAACGAACCCCUGGCCUCGUCUCUAGUCUGAGCGGCUCGCCUUCCUUCCCCUCCCGCCCCCCGCCCCCGGAGGCUGGAGCCUGGCCGGCUGUCCCUUCGACGGUCAGAGGAGCGGGGAUAGGGCGGGCUGGACCGCGCCCCCAUAGCCCGACCAGUAGCUAUUCCCUUUACCUCCGGCCCCUUAGACACACCCCUAUCGUCCCCUCCCAAGACUUCGAGGUUGCUGACUCCUCCCAGGAGACCUGCCCUACCCCGCUUACUCUGCCCAACACCACCCCCCCAUCCCCCGGUUUCGGGGCUCGCCAAGGUGCCCCUUCCGCCCGGGCGGGGUGGAUGCGGACUGAGUCCCGACACCUGGGCAGUGCGGGCUCUAGGGGUCUGUGGGGACUGAGUUGCCAGUGGAAGCGUUCUGGAGGGUGGGGCGGGUUCGUCGGGUUUCCCCGGGAAAGGAAACACACACCCAGCUGCUGUCUCCCUACCCUCUCUGAUACAGCAGCUGGGGUCGCCGUGCAGUUUAUUAUGUUUCGUUGGUUUGCACUCCAGGAGAAAUCAAGUCAUGGGGACUGUGAGCCGAGAAACACUAGGACUCAGCCAGGCUCGGUCUGGCAACUCGGGACAUCAGCCAGCAUCUCAGCUUCCCCCUCUGACAGCUGGGGUCCCACCCGGGCAAAGUGGGCAGGCUGA
rnacentral:lncRNA from 1 species